CAACACUCUUAACCUCUGAGCCAUCUCUCCAUCCGCUUGCAUGGUCUCUCAGGAGAUUCCGGAUCCUGUCAAGUUGACAGCCAAGAUUGACCAUCACAUGGACAAAGUGGAAUGAACAGUUCUCCACACAUCAUUGAUGGGUGAUGACCUUUCUCCCCAUCUACUUUACUGGACCAAGCUAGGCAUGACCAAGGCCUCCCUUAUUCCAGCCAGUUUCAUCUGAGGCGUUGAUGGAAUCUUCACUUUUGGCUCGGGAAAGACAUACUCCUGUGUACUCCUUUUGUAUACUGUGAAAAUGUGUUGCUCUCAUUCUUAAUAAAAAUUUGAUUGACUGAUA